GGCAAAUGGAGGUUCCCAGGCUAGGGGUCAAAUUGGAGCUACAGCUGCCAACUUACACAACAGCCACAGCAACACCAGAUCCUAGCCUCAUCUGGACCACAGCUCACAGCAACACCAGAUCCUUAACUCACUGAGAGAGGCCAGGGAUCAAACCCACAACCUCACGGUUCCUAGUCAGAUUCGUUUCAGCUGCGCCACAACUGAAACUCCUCUUCCAUCCUCAUAAAGAGUUUUAGACCUAUGAUAUUUAAAUUAGAACCAUUAUAGCUGCUAUAAAAGUCUUCCCAUGACCUGAGAAGGCAUCUUUGUGACCCGUUCCCUUUCAGUAGUCAACUGUGAUGGUUACAUUCGUAUAACUUCAGUGAGUUUUCCAGUCAUAUUUGAACCUCACAGAGAUAGAAUUAUUAAUCAUUUAUUCUUUUAUGUAUCCAUCCAAGUCAUUGAAUAUAGCAGUAGCUUAUUUAUUCUGAUGUGUAGAACUCCAUUGGAUAAAGGUAUUAUCAUUUGUUCAUUUGGUAGAUAGUUGUUUUUUUUCCUACUUUAGGAGAAAUUAUAAAUGAAGAUUCUAUUAGUAUUAUUGAAGAAGUCAUUCUAAAACAGACAACCAUUUUUCUUCCAUGCUUCUACCUGAAGUUAAAUUCUGUGUUAAGAGGUGGGAAUAUGUUUACCUAUAUUAAAAACUAUAUAAUAAUUUUGCAAGUUGGAUGUGCUAUUGUACACUCUCAUUAACAAUAAAUUAAGAUUCUAACUGUUCCACAUCCUCAUUAUCAUUAAUCGUUAGGGUUUUGUUUUAAUUUUAGACAUUAUAACCAGUGCCUGGUAAUAUCGAAUCAUGGUUUUAAAUUUCAUUUCCCUUGUAGUUAUUGACACUGAGCAUCUUUCUAUAUACUUGUUAUUCAUAUAUCUUUUGAGGAAUAAUAUUUCAUCUAUUAAAAUUUUAUUGUAUUUUUAGGUUUUUUUAUAUAUAUGGUAGAUGUAAUUCUUCUCUCAGCUGUGUGAUUUCUACACUUGAUCUGAGUCAAAAGGCCAAGAAGCGAUAGUUAUAUAAUUUCUAAAUGUUUUUCCCUGUCUAUAUCAUUCAAAGAACAAAAGGUCUUAUUUUGAUGAAAUUUAGUCCAUCGAGUUUUUCUUUUAUAGAUCAUGAUUUUUAUAUUAUAGCCUAUGUUUUCUCAUAUUGUUAUAUAAUUUUAGGUACCACAUUUAGGUCAAUUAUCUAUUUUAAUUUAAUUCUCAUACAUUAUACAAGGUAUGGAUCAAAGUUCAGUUUUUUCCAUAUUGAUAUCCAAUUUGUUGAAAAGACAAUGCUUCCUCCAAUAAAUUUCAUUUAUACUCUUUAAAAAAUUAAAGUGGUGACAUAUAUGUAAGUGUAUUUCUAGAUUCCUCCUGGGAGCAUACCUUCUAUCUUUAGGUGACUAUGACAUUUUAAAAUUAUUAUAGCUUUAUAGUAAAUCUUGAAGUCAGCUCAUGUUAGUUGUCUAAUUUUAUUCUUCUUAUACAAAGUUGUUUGGCUAUUCUAGCUGCUUUGCUUUACCCCAUGAAUUUUAAAGUUUUCAGCCUUUACCAAAACAAACAAAACUUCCUCAGAUCUCUUUGAAUCUAUAGAUCAAUUAACAGAGAACAUCUAACUUAACAAUAUUGUCUUCCAAUCCUUGGAUUUGGUGGGCCUUAUAGUUUUAGCUCUUACUUAUAGACCUUUGAAUACAUUUUAAGUUGAUUUUUAUACUAGUUGUGAGGUCAGAGUCUAACUCCCUCUUUUGUGUGUGGAUAAGCAGCUGUCCCAGCACCAUUUGUUCAAAAAAUAUGAGUAUUAAGAAUAAAUGCUAUAUUUCUACAGAUAAAAAUAGCUCAUGGUUUUCAUAAUAGUGAAAAAAAUCAGUGAAUUUCUGUAAUGGGUCAAGCACUGUACUAAGUCCUUAAAUGGCUUGAUGAAUAUAAACAGACAUGCCACUUUCUUCAUGGAGCUUAUACUGUAAUUCUAGAAACAGGUGCUGAGUCGUCAUUCCUGAGUAUCUAAAAUCCAUAUACACUGAACGUUAGAAAUCAAAUAUGUUAGAAAUGUUACAUAUGCCGUCUCAGUAUUCAUUUCAGCAGUUUUUAGAGAUAUUGUGAAUUUUGCACUUGAAUAAAAUUCAUGUUAGUGGGCACAAAAACUUAAUAUUUAUUAUUUAUUUUACGAUUCUGAUUAUUUUGCUGAUUUUAUUUUUAUGACCUGGAAUUUUUGCUCUGUUUCAAAAGAGAAAAAAAUAAAGUUGCCCAAGUUUUACGAGAUUAUUUUAGGCCUGUGCAAAGUUUGUUUUUCCCUCUGGAGAAACAGGAAGUCUUGUCUGCCCAAGAGUAAACAGACUCCACAAGGCAAUUUGAAUUUGGUCUGAAACUAAGAAUCCACAAGACUGGGGUUGGUGCUAAACAUAGAGGAGCAUUAUUCCUUCUUUCCUCGUUAUCAUCCCGACCAGCCCCCUGCUGCUACGUGGUUACCAACCACAAUGAAAUGCUUUGUUCAACCUAAUUUUAAAUUAUUCAGCUUCUAAAGGAUGGUUAUUCAUUCAUUCAGAUGAAAUUGUAUUACUUCCUAGACUGUAUCAAUCAAAUUAUAUUAACACAGUCACAAUUCUCCAUAUAAAGACUGAAUGGUGUAGAGAAGGAAAAUAUUUUUUUUAAUUUAAUUGAUACUCCCAAGUUAAAAAACACACCAAGACCAAAAAAAACCUCUCCAACUCGAAAGCAAUAUAAGGCUAAGUUGAAGAUGGAGAACUCGGGGAAGAUUUAGAGGCCAGAUAUUAGAAAAGCAUCUGUCUGGAAUGGGGCAGCUCCCACAUGCCGGCACAGCAGGUCUCGAGGCCAAAGUGUUUCGUGAGGUCUUUUGCAGCUCAGGUGAACAAUGAUUCUUUACAUCCAUGUUGUAACAUGUGAUUGCGUAAAACUGCAAAAACCAGAAUCCUGUUAGAAUUUGAUUUGAGAUUGGCACCUGUCCCCACAGCAGGCCCACUGUCCUCAUGUCUUCAACUUGGUGAUAAGCCAAACACGUAUUUUAACAAUUCGAUCCUUUGUCCUUUGGUAUAAAAUGAUGGAAGAGUAUUUACUCUGCAAUAAUAUAAACACACAUAGAAACUGGUGCUUGUGGAUAAACUUCCCAGAAACUGAAGUUAGUCUUGCUCGAGAACAUAAAAGUGAAACAUGACGCAGUAAAUGGAUGAUCUCAAUGCACGUGGAGACUCAGAAGUUGGGCUACCUAAUACUCUUCCCCAGACAGUCCCUGUCUUGGUUAGUGAAACUAUCAACUUGAGAUCUUGAGCUGGAAACUUCUUCACUUCCCAAUUGAAUGACCAAUUGUGAUCAUUUGGUCUCCUAAGUAUUUCUUGUAAGAGGAGUUUUCUCUUUGUCACUUCUAGGUCUAUACCACUAGUUCAGGCCCUUGGCAUCUUUUACUUGUCCCACAGCAAUACGCUCUUAUAGAAAUGAUAAUAUCUUAAACACAUAACAAAGAAUAUAAGGAAUAAUGUAAGACGUAUGUGGUAAAUAGUACCUCGCUUAAGAAAUAAACAAUAUCCAUACAGUGGCAGUAGCCUGUGUAGUACUAUUACCUGACCACAUGUCCUCGUUGCCCCAAAUUCUGCAGCGGUAGUUUCUGUCUUGAAUUGGAAGUCUUUUAUUUCCAUGCAUGUUUUUGUACUUUUCGUGUGUGUGUGUGUGUGUGUGUAUGUGCAUGCUCAUCUAUAUGCCAUAUACACAUAUACUUGCUAUUUUAUUUUCUGUAACUUAGGUUUACCAUUUAACAUUUUUUAGAGUUAUCCAUGUUGAUUCGUGAAGUUCUAAUUUGCUUAUUUUUGUAAUCGUUUAUGUUAAAUUGUGACUCAGUUUACCCAUUUUCUUGUCAAUAGACAAUUAGGCUGUUUCUAGUUUUUCCUAUAAUAAGCAAGGGUAUUUUUGAGCAUUCUUUUACCUGCCUUCUUAACUAAUAUGCAUGAGUUCUUUAGAUUAUGCCACUAGGAGUAGUGGAUAAAGAGAUAUCAUAUCUUUAACCAGGAUUCUCUCUCAAGCGCCUAAACCAUCUUUCAUCUCUGCUAGCAGUCUACGUAUACCUUCUGCAUUCUGCCCUCUGAAGAACAUUUGACCCUUGAACAGCAGGAGUUUGAACUAUAGGGGUUCAUUUCCAUGUGGAUUUUUUCCAAUAGAUACAUACUGCAGAAGCACACAAUCCAUUGUUGGUCAGCUUCCUGGAUGUGGAACUGUGCAUGUGGAACCGUGGAUAUGGAGGGUCCACCAUAAAAUUGCAUGUAAAUUUUUGACUGCACAGGCAUUAGUAUGUUGUUUGAGGGUCUAAUGUAUUAGGCAUUACUGAUUGUUGGCAGAUCUAAUCCCAAGUUGACCCAAGAGCUGGAUCCAGGCAACUGGAGGCUUAUCACCCCUCCUCUGUCCGUGGAAUGUAUUUUCUACCCACUGUGCCCACAGUGAAGUCAUUUUCAACGAUUCAGCCUUGGGAGAGCAAGGUGUUAUUGAGACAUACUCUGGACUGAAUAUGUGACUGAACCGUGUUUAGGUCUCUAUAUAAACUUUUAAGAUUCUAAUGGAUGGGUGUGGAGAGCUACUCAUCUUGUUGGCUGUCCAAGAUAAGUGUAUUGUGUAAGUCCCCUAGUUUAUUAAAUCUGCUACCUACCAGUCCCCUAGUUUAUUGAUCUGCCUCUUUCUUUAGUCUCUUCUCACCCUCUGUGUACAAAGGCUGUACAAAGACCAGGUUCAUAUUGCACCCAGGGAACUCU
rnacentral:lncRNA from 1 species